UACAGAUCAUGUGUGUUCCUACCGCUGCAUGAUGAGAAGGGUCUCUAGCUAUGGCCCCUCGGCAAUCUCCCUACCCCCUACAUCAGAGAAGAUCUGGUUUUGAUCAUCGAUUGCCCAAGUGCCAGUCAAUUCUUCUUAUGUUUAUCACUAUCAACUAAAGGCUAAAACGAUGGUUUUUAGCCUGACCUUGCAUGCCCGAGUGGUACUUUAGUUUGCCUACAUAGACCAUGCUGCAACAAUGGCCAAGGCAACUUUGGUGUAUGCGAUGUUCCUUCUACACUUCUAUUGCUCCUGAGAACCUUGAGCGUUAGUUAUAACAAUAUAUUAUCCUAUUUUCCUGAUUGUAUAUGAGAGUUUGCUACUCCGUUCAUAAUGUAUGUGAUUUAUCUAAAUUUUAUCUUAUCGA